rnacentral:tRNA from 1 species
CAAGAAGUAGUUUAAUCAGAACUUCAGUUUUGGGUGCUGAUGGUGUGGCUAUUUUGCCUCUUUCUUGA